UGGUGUUGUGAAUCAGGCCGCUGUGGUGUUGAGACCGGCUACUUCCCAACACCAGGGUC
rnacentral:miRNA from 1 species